GCGGUCGUGGCGGAAUGGUAGACGCACUAGCUUGAGGUGCUAGCGGGGGAAACCCUGUGGAAGUUCGACUCUUCUCGACCGCACCA
rnacentral:tRNA from 1 species